rnacentral:rRNA from 1 species
UGCCAGCCGCCGCGGUAAUACGGGGGGGGCUAGCGUUAUUCGGAAUUAUUGGGCGUAAAGGGCGCGUAGGCGGCGUGGUAAGUCGUAGGUGAAAUCCCUCGGCCCAACCGAGGAACUGCCUGCGAAACUGCCUCGCUCGAGUCCGGGAGGGGGUAGCGGAAUUCCCAGUGUAGCGGUGAAAUGCGUAGAUAUUGGGAGGAACACCUGUGGCGAAGGCGGCUUUCUGGUCCGUUACUGACGCUGAGGCGCGAAAGCGUGGGGAGCAAACAGGAUUAGAUA